GACGAACGCUGGCGGCAUGCCUAAUACAUGCAAGUAGAACGCACAGUUUAUACCGUAGCUUGCUACACCAUAGACUGUGAGUUGCGAACGGGUGAGUAACGCGUAGGUAACCUGCCUGGUAGCGGGGGAUAACUAUUGGAAACGAUAGCUAAUACCGCAUAAUAUUAAUUAUUGCAUGAUAAUUAAUUGAAAGGUGCAAUUGCACCACUACCAGAUGGACCUGCGUUGUAUUAGCUAGUAGGUGAGGUAACGGCUCACCUAGGCGACGAUACAUAGCCGACCUGAGAGGGUGAUCGGCCACACUGGGACUGAGACACGGCCCAGACUCCUACGGGAGGCAGCAGUAGGGAAUCUUCGGCAAUGGACGAAAGUCUGACCGAGCAACGCCGCGUGAGUGAAGAAGGUUUUCGGAUCGUAAAGCUCUGUUGUAAGAGAAGAACGGGUGUGAGAGUGGAAAGUUCACACUGUGACGGUAUCUUACCAGAAAGGGACGGCUAACUACGUG
rnacentral:rRNA from 1 species